rnacentral:rRNA from 1 species
GAUCCUGACUCAGGAUGAACGCUAGCUACAGGCUUAACACAUGCAAGUCGAGGGGCAGCAUGGGAGUUGCUUGCAAUUCCUGAUGGCGACCGGCGCACGGGUGAGUAACGCGUAUCCAACCUUCCCCUGACUCCGGAAUAGCCCGGUGAAAACCGGAUUAAUGCCGGAUGCGGUCCGGAGAGGACAUCUGACCUGGACCAAAGGCUUGCCGGUCAGGGAUGGGGAUGCGUCUGAUUAGGUUGUUGGCGGGGUAACGGCCCACCAAGCCAUCGAUCAGUAGGGGUUCUGAGAGGAAGGUCCCCCACAUUGGAACUGAGACACGGUCCAAACUCCUACGGGAGGCAGCAGUGAGGAAUAUUGGUCAAUGGGCGAGAGCCUGAACCAGCCAAGUAGCGUGGAGGAUGACGGCCCUACGGGUUGUAAACUCCUUUUAUCAGGGGAUAAAGUGCCCUACGUGUAGGGCUUUGCAGGUACCUGAUGAAUAAGGACCGGCUAAUUCCGUGCCAGCAGCCGC